UGGGCCCUUUUCACAUCAAAAGUGUAUUAUUAUGUCUGUCCUUCUAUAGACUCUUCAUCAUUGACUAGGAUAGAAUAUGAUUUUUUUUUCUAACACACCUUAAAUUUUUAAAUUUAGUGUCCUUUUGUUACCAGCAUCUUCCACUGUUCAAACAAAGCUGUUUCUUAUGUAGGAAAUUCUAAAUGGCAGCUGGGAACUGUCCAUAGAUGAAACUUGGGUGAAUAAUCAGGUGGUGGCUGCUGAUGCAUUUGAACUUGGGCCAAGUCAGAGAGGAGGGUUCCUUGGGGUAGUGUUGUCCUCUACAUUUCCCCAUCCUGGACCAUAGCCUUUUUGACCUCACCUUAGCUAUGCAUUUGUUAUCAGGACAAUGAGUUGACAAGGGAGAAAAGAAUGGCUGAGGGCUGGUUCAGAAAUACAUGCUUUGAAAAAAAAGUUCAGAUGCCCAAAUAGCAGGGAAUCCAUUUAUAAUCACUUUCCUCCCAAUGGUUCUAUGCUGUCAGUAGUACCUUUAGAGCAUGAUUAUUUUUUCCAUAUUACAGAGGAUAAGUUGAAGCUCCCAGAAGGAUUUCCUUUGCUCCAGGACACUCAGCUGGUAAGCAGGAGAGUUCUGAUUCAACAAUCAGCAGAAUGUAUAACUUGGAUAAUAAAGCAUCCCAUGGAAGGACCUGGAUGGAAUCUUGGAUCUGUCAACUAUUUGCUGUAUGACCUUAGGCCCUUAUGGUGAUGAUGCCCCCAGGCAAACUCAUUUCUAGAGCUGCAAGUCUCCCCUGGGUCCAUGUUUCUUCCUGAGGUCCCUGAGUGUCCCAUGAAUGCAUGGCUCAUUAGGUCACUCAGUGGGAUGGCCUACCUUGGUCCUGCCUCUGAAAAAGGUCCUGCCUCCCUCCCUGAGCCAGCUAUGGACCUGGUGCUGUUGUCAACAGGCUGAGACAAGUUGAAAGGAAGAGGGAGUGAUAAAAAUGGGUAAUCAAUUUCAAUAAUAAGGUAAGUGCAUUUGCCUUUGUUU
rnacentral:lncRNA from 1 species